UACGAAGGGGGCUAGCGUUGCUCGGAAUCACUGGGCGUAAAGCGCACGUAGGCGGCUUCUUAAGUCAGGGGUGAAAUCCUGGAGCUCAACUCCAGAACUGCCUUUGAUACUGAGGAGCUUGAGUCGGAUGGAGGAGGUGAGGUGAACUGCGAGUGUAGAGGUGAAAUUCGUAGAUAUUCGCAAGAACACCAGUGGCGAAGGCGGCUCACUGGCCCGGUACUGACGCUGAGGUGCGAAAGCGUGGGGAGCAAACAGG
rnacentral:rRNA from 1 species